rnacentral:lncRNA from 1 species
CCUUUACUACUCCUAAAGCACCAUCGGGGCUCAAAGAUGAGGAAGACUAUGACUCAAGUCUAGUAAGAUCGCCCUGCCCCCAAAAUAGACAACAUUCAGAAGACUAGAGUGAAGCACGAUGUGCAAAUACGGACCCAUAAACAGAUAUUGAUUCAGCUGAACUAAUUCAAGCAAGAGAAAACUCUUCAAUAUCCUACAAAUAUGGCUAAUGCAAUAGAGCUCUCCGAAAAAUAAGCUUCACAGAACUCAACAUCUGGCCUCCCAUUUUAUUCCUCAAAUAUAAAACCCGCUGCAAAAGUGAAAUUAGAGCAUACACAAAAGUCUAAUUUCUCUAGGUGUGAUUUAAGUUUGUUUUGUUUUAAAGAAAGGUCAUCUUGUUUCUUCUGUUUCACUGGCCUUGAGAAGCAGCAGACUAUCCCAGCGCACAAGAAAUUAAUUACCCUGGAGGACCAGGUGCAACCAGUUAGCCAGUUGCCAUGGAGACAAAAUCGCUACAUCCCGGAUUUUCCAGGAUGGUCUCUAUUUCAUGAAAUCUUAUUCUUUUCAAUAAAGGCCAUUCAUAAGAAUGCAAAUAUAAGUGUGAUUUGCUUACUUUCAUGUGUGCAUUAAUGCACAAACAGAAGAAAAUACUUUGCCAAAUAAUGAACCCUCAUCUUUGUCAAGAAAAUUUGAUAGGUAUGAUUUGAGUGAAUUAGUUAAAAAAAAAAAAAGCAAAGUAAAUAAAUCCAAAGCACUUUAAAAUACUGUUGGAAAAACGAAAACCAGCUUUCCUGGAGUCCUCGGCACUUGAAGAAUGGUGCUGCUAUGGCUAGUAUGAGUCCAAGGUCAGCCCAACGUGAGAGAUACAACAGCUCUCAUCUGAGAAUUUGUAGCAAAUUCCGUUCAAAUUAGUUUGCUUUCAGUUCUUCCGAAGGAAACUCAACACAGAGCUACGUCACUACCUAACUUUAGGGUAUUAUCAAUCAACCAAAAUGGUAGUAUGUUUUCCUUUAAAAAAGACGUUGGCAUUCAUUAUUUGAACAGUUUUCGAGUUAUUCCAUAUAACUGGAGUUUUGUUCAUUGUAAGGUGCCAAAGUUGGUCUCUUGGUGUUGACAAAGUUACCCUGGUAAUUAAUGUAAAAUGUUAACACUGAGGGAAACUAUGCGUGUGGGGAGGAGGAGAUGUGGGAACUCUGCAUUGGCU